rnacentral:lncRNA from 1 species
AUAAUUUAUUCGGGUUUAGGUUCGAAUAAUAUUUUGAAUAUCCAUACCCCAUUAACAUCCCUAACUCCCUAUUCCUCUACAAAAAAUACGUACUAAACACGGUGAAUCAUUCACCGUGUCUAAACACGGUGAAUGAUUCACCGUGUUUAACUUAACUACCGCCCCCAGCCCCGCCAGCGUGGCGCUGACGUGGCGCUUGCGUGGCAGGAGUAGGGCCAUUUUUGCAAAUUAAAUUUUGAUAGGGCUACUUUUAAAAUAAAAAUUCUUCAGGGGGCUAAAUGCAAAAAAAGCCCCAUGGAAUAUUUAUUCCUACUUAUCCCUAUUCCUAAUGAUUUAAAAUAAAUAAAUUUUAAAACCAUGAUAUUUAUUCCUACUUAUCCCUAUUCCUAAUGAUUUAAAAUAAAUAAAUUUUAAAAAAGUGCUGAUCGAUGGCGCUAAUCAUUAAUUCUAAAAACUCGAACCGUCAGAAAUACAUAAUCAAUCCACUUAAAGCGUAUAGAUACAGUAUCCAUGGGUCUCGACUGUUACUCGACCCAACCAGUCUCGCGUCACUUCGAAAAUGACUCAGCCCACCAUGACAUUCUGCAAGUUCGAACGUGACUCAAUCCAACGUAGCCUCUUGCCAUAAGAUAGGAUACUGACCCAUUAAAACCAACAAGUACCUCUCUUGUCGUAUAGCAUAUUUUUAUUUUAUCAUCCUAUAAUUUCAAAAGUUGCACUUUAUCUCUAUGUGAUUUAAUUUUAUUUUAUUUA